UUUCUUCCUCUCAUUCUUCUCACUCUCGAUUUCCACUUCCUGCAGCACUAGAUCCUCAUCAUUUUUCCUCAUUUCCCUUUGUGCAAGCCACACCAACGGCCAUCACCAUACCACCUUCUUCUUCAUUCAAUUUAUUGUAACACCCACCAUCACUUUCUCCUCUACAUGGAAGCCGUGAGACCACCACCACCACCAAGCUGCUACUCCUUCUUCCUCUACUCCACGCAAGCACCACAACCACCGGGAGCAAGCCACCAAAGGCAGCCACCACCUCUAUUCUCUUCAACCUUUUCUCAUCUCAAUUUUGAGCUUUUGAGUUAGAGGUUUGGAUCGUGUUGAGCUAAGGAAGGAAGAUUCAGAACAAGCUGUGAAGUUUCAGGAUAGAGGAGAAUAACCCAAGAGACUAUGGAGCUCAUCGUGCUAGAUGAUUGACCGCUGAGUCGUGCGUUUCCAUUAGUGAGACGUGAUGCUGCCCUGGCAAGGAAAUGAAGAUACAUCUGUGCGUAGACGACGAGUGAUGGAUUGAUGACUUGACGUUCAAAGGAUAGAGAUUGACUUAUGCUGUGUCUAAUUAUUAUUCACACGCUACUUAACUAUGCUAAAUCAAGCUAGGACUUAUAUUACAUUACUCUAGGAAGUUGACCCUUUCUUGCCUUGUUUGCUUUGUUUGUGUAUGGGCGGUCGGCAAACUGCCAGGCCCUAACAGGUGUUGCUGUGAGUAGCUGUUGAUCGCUGCCAGGAGGUGAUUGGAUUGAUUUACGGGAAGACUUCUUGGAGUGAGUAGAUUAACCGAAGACUGGUAGGAGUAAUAGUUAGAUGUAAGGCUAGAGCCUUGGGUAGAGAAGCUUACUGUUAUUGGUUAAAGCUUAUAGGGAUGGUUGUAUAACUUACUUUGGUUUUGGGUAGGUUCCGAUGCAUUGCUUUUCUGCAACUCUCCAGUGCGGGGAUUGUAGGAAGUAUAUUGGACUUAGGGUGUUAUCGCAUUCUGAACCUUGUUGUCUGUUGAGGCAUUACGUUAUUGUAUAUUACAUGUAUAGAACAUCCGUCGUCACUCAUGAGUGCUUGCCUAGUUAAGGCCGGAUGUAUGGGUUUGGGCAAGUAUAUGCAUAUCAGGUUUUGGAAAUGUUUUAGAAAACAAAUGAAAAAAAAUAUACCCUUAUUUGUAAA